GGCGGGCGCACGACGCUCGGACUUUGCAAAAGGCCUGCGAGGAAGGAGGUCGCGGGACGUGAGGGGCGCGCCCAGCAGACGGAGGCCGGCCUGGGACGCAGGAGCAGCCGCGUCCGAUCUCGAGCCUCCGCUUCCCGUUCCGGCCUCCAGACGCAGGGAGCGCGUGCAGCCACGGGCGCCGGGGCGGGACGGGCCCGGCGGACAGCCGGGACGGGCAGCGAGGCUGCCGACGUCAGGCCCUGCGGGGCGUCCUCUGCCGGCGGCCCCAGGGGAUAGUGGCUCGCCCGCGGCCACGCCGCGCACACUUGUGUCCACCCGCGCAGUAUCCGCAGGCCACUUUCCUCGCUCCCAGGAACACAGCGCGGGGCCGGGUCGAGUUCUGGAGGGUCGAGGUCUUUGCUGGGCCCUCAGCACCCGCUGCCCCUUGAUUCUUGGGGUGAGGGGACCCUGCAGCCUUGCAGGUCCCGGAUGUGGCCGAGGGCUGGGUGGUCAUCGUCUUGGCCGUGGGUUGAAUGUGUGGGCUGCCCGGACUCGCGGUGAGGGGUCUCUGCCACCGCAGGGCCUGUAAGAAGCGGUCAGGCCCGCAGGACAGCAAGCUCCUGAGCCCGGGCCCGUGUUCACUCCACCCUGCGAUGACCCAGCAGGGAGCCAGGGAAGCCCUGGACGGUCAAGCUGGCCGCCGGCCUCGCUCCUCAGCAGCUUCCCUCGCUGCUGACCACGCACAGCCCUCAGCCGCAUCCACUUGCCCGUGGCUCCGAGGCCUGCUGCCUCAUGGUUGUGUUUGCUGAAAAUCUGCCGAGCCGGCUUCUGGGGGCCACAGUAGCAGCAGACGGAACGAGCUGCAGCCACAGCGGGGCCUGGCGUUCGCAGAGGGACUCGGCUGUGAUGCUGGCCCGGCAGCCACCUCGCGCUGCCACGUGUGCACAGGCGUGACAUGCUGACGCUGGAGGAGCUCCGCGUGCCCUUUCUCUCACCUGGCCUGCCCCGUCGUGCGCCCUCCAUCGAGCUGGAUUUGGGGCUCCCCUGCCCCCCGACAGCUGCCUUGUAAUCCCCGGGCUGCUCUUCCUCAGAGCCCGCAGUGCUUUGUGCGAAAGUUUGUGGAGCAAAGUAUAAACAGUCUCCUGAGAUGUCUGGGUGUUGGACCUGAGACAGCCUCAGUGCAGAGGCUGGGGUGGGCGGCAGGCAGGGGCAAGCAGGCCGCGGGCCCCAAAGGCCUGGCAAGCUGACGCUGUGGCGUCUCUGCCCCGGCGCCAUCUGUGGAUCUACCAAGUCAUCCAGCUUAGCUCCAGGCCUGCAGCAACAGCGUGGCUUUAAUUUUUAGUGAUUCUAAGUCAAAAGGGUGGGAGAGAAAAUGCAGAUAGGAAUUAUUGAGAGCGUGCAUGAAGCAGGAGGAGCCGGUUCUGUAGGACGAAGGGUCCAAGCAAGAAUACAGGAUUCCUUCCCUACACUCACCCUCACUGUUUACCAAUGAUGAUCAAGUAAGGUGAAUUACUGGGAAGUAACCCUGCUCAUUAAAUGUGGCGUGGUUAUUUACGUAAAUGCAGCCGGAAGGGUAGUUGGCCACGUAGGCUCUUUUUAAAUCUGCCUUGCUAGAACUUUCAAAGCCAAAGACUCGCUUCAGACAGACGUCACCUGCCACACAAAUAAACGAGGGUAAAUCCGCCCUUCUCCGGGCCCCCCGAAUGUCAGCCCGCUGUUGGCCGAGUACCAAGGGCCCCACUCUCAGUAAAGUCAACCCCAGUGCCUUCCCGCCGCCUGAUUUGGUCUGAAAAAAGGACGUUCCAGUGAGGGCCUCGGGGCAGAACCAAGGUCUCCACUUACAUCCUGCUUCAAGGAAAACAGAUUGUUACUGAGCCCAUGCAGAAGAACGCCGGCCAUGACAAGAAGAGCACUCGCUAAGGUUUCUGCGUGCUGGAGCCACGGGGCAGGGAAGAAGAGAGAUGGCGCAAGUCCGCGAGCCCAGGUGUGAUGCGCCACAUCGCUGUGGAAGCCUGCAUAGCUGACGAGGAGAAUUCCCGUGAAUCCGGAGAGCGAAACCUGAGUGUGGCGGGGAUGUCCUAAGCAGUCGUGACAAUGUGCUCGUCCACGGGACUUCCGCCCGUGUGGCGUGGCGUGGCGUGGCGUGGCGUGGCGUGGCUCAGCUCGGCUUGGGGAGCGGUGGUGUGGCAGCUCUGAGUCUCUGCCCACGUCAGUGUCGUGACCGGAAGUCCGUCUCCUGUGCUGAGUUCUGGUCCAAGGCCAUCCGGUGCCGAGAGCUGACCGUAAGCUCCCAGAAAGCUUCCGAGUGGUCAUGUCGGCAAGUGACAAAGACCCCAGGCCAGCCGUGCCUGAAGACCUCCUGACAGUGCCUCAGAAACUGGGUUAUUCAACGACGUGCAGUAUUGUAACCAGAAUGACGACUGAUUACACAGAAUCGCUUCGCGGCCUUUUGGCUAAGAUCAAGUGUGCACAGAAAGUAAGGGCCUGAGCAAUUUCCAGGGAUUUUAUAACUUUAUUGUUACCGGUCGCAGAGCGGAGAGUGGUUGCCGGAGAGUCUCGUGGGCUCCUUUUCUCAACUUAGUAUAAAGACAAGAAGCUGGGAAGCAAUUUGCCAAGAAUAGAAACUUGUAUUUGGUCGGCAGGCGACAGAGAAGGCGUCUGGUCCGAGAGGAGAGCAGGCGGAGCGCCCAGGCGGGACACUGGCUCCGAGGAAGGGCCCCGGGUUUUUCAGGCAUUACUGUUUGUUCGUUGGGUUAUCCUGAGGGUUCCACACAUGUGUGUUGAUUCACUUGGGGCUCAAGGAGAUGGGGGCGCCUCCUGGGGACUGUCCAUCUCCCUAGGGGCUCAGCCCCCUCCUCUGCCAGCUCUGGGUGGAAGAUGGCAGCCCCCUGGAGGUGAUUUAAAGCCGUAAGGUCACACAAGAUAGCCUGGAGCUCCUGGAGCCAGUCUGAGUCUGCCCAGGGGCUCAGCCCUCCCCUGCCAGCCCUGAAGGUGUGGUUUAAGGCCACAAGGUCACACGUGCGGUGCAGGAAGCUGUCAGUGGACACAGCAGCCGUCACGGGGCUCAGUCAGGCAAUGGCGGCAGCGGCAGCCACGGUGGGGCUUCCUCCUCCUGCAGCCUCUUGCCCCCUUUGCCUUUCUCCUUUCCUUUCCGGCCAGAUCUCGUCCGCUUCCCCCAACAGCGGUCCCAAUCCUACGUAAAGGCAUGACUUCCUGGCAGCUCAGGGGAAACGGGGUACAAACCCAGAAACGAUUGCCCCACCACCUCUGGUUGAAAAACUGACCUGAAGGUGUCUCCGCGUUGGAACAAACGGAAAGUGCCAGGAUUUGAUGCGUCUCUGGCUUUGUGCUGGAGAACAUUCCCUGCUGAGUAUCAAGACGAAGAAAACUGGAGCUAAUCCGAACCGAAUUCAAAGCAAAAAUGGAAAGAUUUGUAGUAACAGCACCCCCUAGGACUGCUUUGUAUGUGGCUCCCCGAUGGGGUCGCGAGUCCGGAGGACAGCUCUUCUGCACUUGCGGUGUGGUUCCGAAUCAUUCGCAAGUCAGCCAUUAGUGACCCAUUUUUAUACUUAUUUCAUUUAAAAUCAUGUGAUGCAGCGUAGUCUUGCAAUAUGUAUAUAGUUGCAGGCAAAAAAAGAAAAACUCACUGCAAAACUUGUUAAUUUUAGUCACUGAUGGUAUAAAGUGAAACUUAGUUUUAGCGUGUGCUAGGGUCCUGAAACCCUAUGGUUAUCUCUAAAAUGGAUGGCUUUUCUCCUGAAACGUUUGUGGAAGAGCGGCCCUGCUGUCGGACCCGGCUGCCGUACGUGAUCACUCCUGUGCGAUUACCUACUUCCUUGGGUUGGAGACUGGAGGAAUUGAAGCUGCUGCCAGCAACGCCACUCAGUCACUUCCAGGAAUUACUUCCGAGUGGGGGCUCCCCUUCGGGAAGGAAGGGGUGAUGGGGACUUCUUCAUCUUCAGCUCCCUAGCAGGAUCAUUCUGUCUUAGCUAUAUUGUGUUUGUGCAUGAGGGGUUACCUUAGGUAAGUAGCCUCCCGUUCCCACUGUCUUUUUACUCCCUUUUAAAUGCUUAACGUAUUUAGUAGCAGCUUCAAGUGACCAAAAGACCACAAUCUUUGUUCUAAUGUCCGUGCCAAAAGCCAUGGGGAAUUUUGCAGUGACAAGAUUUCAGGCUCUCACUAUGAACACAUUUUUGAACCAUAAUUUUCAUUUUGAGCAUCAUCUUGAAUUUGCAAGCUUUCCUUUAUGUGUUAGUUUUAACAGACUUUGGCAUUUUAAUUUAAUGAGGUAGAUAAUUUAUGGUCAAGUGUCUUUUUGCAGAGAAUUACUGCUUUCUCGAUGAUCAAUCAGAUCAUAUGGAAAUUAUUUUCUAAGGGUUUAUUUAGGUAGGUAGAUUAGAAACAAGUUUACAUCCAUUUUUGCCUGUUUUGUCUCUGGUGGUGCAAGGUUUUUAAGCAUGGCUGGUAAAGAAUUACCUAGAAGUUCUGAUAAGAUUUUGUAGUGCAGUCUGGCGGUAUCCUUGCAUAGCUGUUUGGGUAAGGACGUAAGUCAGUUCUGUUAAAGGUCAACCACAUUCCGGAAAUGAUCUCUGUCUGAGUUGUGAGAUUAUCAGAGUAGCUUAGCCCAGCUAAAUAUUCAUCAGAAACCUAAAUUAUAUUUUAAAAAAAUGUGAUGGCUGGGGGCUGGCGCUGUGGUGCAGUGGGUUAAAGCCCUGGCCUGAAGCACUGGUGUCCUAUAUGGACUCCAGUUCUAGUCUGCACUCCCAUGUAGGUGCAGGGCCCAAGCACCUGGGCCAUCCUCCACUGCACUCCCUGGCCACAGCAGAGAGCUGGCCUGGAAGAGGGGCAACCAGGACAGAAUCCGGCGCCCUGACCGGGACUAGAACCCCGGGUGCCAGAGCCGCAGGCGGAGGAUUAGCCUAGUGAGCCACGGCACCGGCCCAGACUUAAGUUUCUAAUUCAGGUUGUCAAAGUGGCCAUAUGAUUUUAGAUUUUGAUUUGUUUUCAUUUAAAAAAGUAAGCCUGCCACUUUUAAAAAAGUGGGUCUGCCGAAAUCGUUUGUCAGAAUUUGAACUGUACCGGGUUCUUUCGGGUGUGGUUCUGUUAAAGUAGCACAGGGAAUGCCCCAGGAGUGCUCUCACUGGUGCGGCACACGCAUGGGGAGACCAGCGGCAAAGUUUAACCAAAUGCGUUUUGCUUUUACUUCCUCUAGAAAGGAAUUGGCAGGCAACCAUGUUUAAUUGUCUAAGGUGGUAGACGAUCUAAGCAGCUAGGGAAAUAAUUGAGUUUUAUAGCACUAUUUUCAGAAUACAAAAAUAAGAUUAGCUAUACAAUCAUUCUAAUUCUUUGAAAUUUCAGGAUCCAGACUGCCCCCUAUUAUUUUGGUAUAUGCACUGACCACAACGUGUAGAGGCAGAACAGCUUUUCGUAGUCCUGAGCAGUAAACUGGGUGCUGGUGCAUCAGAGAAACAUCCAUAGUUUGCAUUGAGUUUUAAUAGUUAUUACUGAUGUGAUCGUUUAGGUCUUACAUAUCUUAAUGCGUUUUCCCAGGCUCCUGAAUAUCGCCACAUUCACUAUAUCUAGGGGCAUAGUCCAUUUUCCUGUUAAGAUUAUAUCAUGUCCUUAGAAGCGUUUAACAUCUUGUGGGGGUUAAUAUUAAUGUUUUUUACUGAUAUGAGACUUGUUCCGUAAAACUGGUAGCGUUGUCUCGUCCUUGAGUAAGGGCAGAAUGAUUGUUUUGGCCUGCUCAAACUGACGCAAGCCCGUGCAGCUGGUUGGCACCUGUUAAAGAGAAGCGAGAGCGUCUGGGGCACGCGCUGCUCAGGAGCUGGCGUGAGCGUGGGUGCAGAGCUCCGGUCUUCGCCAUGUACCGCUGGGGUGAUGCAGUUCUAUUGGGGAAGUAGCAGCCUUUUCUCUGUUCUGUAAGUCAUACACAGAAGCAUACGCUUGUGAUGUUUGAUUUAUAAACUGCCUUCAGUACAGGCUUACCUGUCAAUAGUGUUUUCUCCAAGUUUGGUAGUAUGUCUUCCAGAAGCUCAUGUAUGCUUGCAGGAAAUAGUUCCUAGCUGGUUGAAAUGUUAAAUUUCUUGUUGGUUUCUUUUUUAUUUUAUGGGCAUGUAGCAAGCUUGAAGGACAUUGUAAUCAUUUUGCAUGGGGUGAAAAUGUAGAAAAAUUGUGUAUGAGAGCCUAAAUUUUAUCCAUUAUCAUCUUUGAUUAAGAUUUAUUUCAUGUUUUGUUUUUAAUAAAACAAAUGCUAUUUCCAGUUAAUGCAUUUGGCCCUACUGAAAUUUCUGGGACCAGAAAGCUAUAAAGAAACACUUCUGCGUAUUACAAUGUAACUAAUUAAGUAUCAGCUUGGGAUUAUUAUGGAGUAUUAUACAAUUAUAAUAUACAAUUGUAUAUAAUACAUACAAUUAUAGUAUUGUAUACUAUUAUGUGUACAGUUGGCAAGAUCUGCAAGCUGAAAAGUUUUAUUUUGCCUGAAAAAAUUUGUGUGUGAACAUUAAUGGAAAACACAUAUAAGCAAAAUAAAAUGUAAGGUGGUCUAAAACAAAAGCCACAAACAAUUCCUCAUUUGGUGCUUAGUCUUUAUAAGGGCUCUCCAUGGGUUGUCUUGGCCCAACUACCUUUAAAUGGGAACAGGAUCACCUUCAAACAUGUUAAUUUGAUUCGUUUACAAGAGAGAUUAGUUCAGUGAUUUCAUUGCAAGUCUCAGUCUUGAGGAAAUUCUUCGGCUUCUGAUCAGCACUGCGUAAAUGUGAACAGCGAGGUGGCCGUCCUGUCCUAGCCCUUGUAAAUGUGAACGGCGAGGUGGCCGUCCUGUCCUAGCCCUUGUAAAUGUGAACGGCGAGGUGGCCGUCCUGUCCUAGCCCUUGUAAAUGUGAACGGCGAGGUGGCCGUCCUGUCCUAGCCCUUGUAAAUGUGAACGGCGAGGUGGCCGUCCUGUCCUAGCCCUUGUAAAUGUGAACGGCGAGGUGGCCGUCCUGUCCUAGCCCUUGUAAAUGUGAACGGCGAGGUGGCCGUCCUGUCCUAGCCCUUGUAAAUGUGAACGGCGAGGUGGCCGUCCUGUCCUAGCCCUUGUAAAUGUGAACGGCGAGGUGGCCGUCCUGUCCUAGCCCUUGUAAAUGUGAACAGCGAGGUGGCCGUCCUGUCCUAGCCCUUGUAAAUGUGAACAGCGAGGUGGCCGUCCUGUCCUAGCCCUUGUAAAUGUGAACGGCGAGGUGGCCGUCCUGUCCUGGCCCUUGUAAAUGUGAACAGUGAGGUGGCCGUCCUGUCCUAGCCCUUGUAAAUGUGAACGGCGAGGUGGCCGUCCUGUCCUAGCCCUUGUAAAUGUGAACAGCGAGGUGGCCGUCCUGUCCUGGCCCUUGUAAAUGUGAACAGCGAGGUGGCCGUCCUAUCCUGGCCCUUGGCUUAUCUCAGCCCAUGUCACCACAGACCUCAGAAGGAAAUUCAGUUCUUAUCUAGUGGUAUUCUACUUGUAUCCAGAAUGCUGUAGUAAUUGAAAGUUUACUGUGUUCACUUUUGUAUUCUCAUGCUUAUUUUUUUUGCUCAUGCAUGUAUCCUUAGUAUAAAUGAGUUGCUUUUAAAGUUGUCUGUGACUUAAAGAAAUAAAUUUCAAAAGAAAAAGAAAAAAAAGAAGCUAUUAGUGGGGGAGAUGCCAGUCGGUCUGGAGACAGCUUUCCGGCCACAGCUGACAGCCUGCUUGUGAAAGACAUUCUACCUGUGUGAGGGGCCCGCAGACCCCAGCCGCACCGGCCGGCCUCAUUGAUCUAGCACUUACAUUAAUUACAUAUAGUAUGUGUGAUAUACAGCAAUAUAAUCUAUAUGGUAAUAAUAUAGGUGCAUAUACAUUGUUAUAUACAUUAUAUGUACAUAAUUAUAUGUGUGAUUAUGUAUCAUACACACACACACACACACUCACACUGACACACACACAUCCUAAGAGGGCUUAUGGUCACUUCCUGCUUGAGAGUGUCCCAAACAUUUCAAGUGAGCCUGAUUGUCAUAACAUCGCUCUUCUUUUUUUCUCUUUUUUUAUUUGACAGUUAAACAGUGAGAGAGAAACAGAUAGAAAGGUCUUCCUUCCAUUGGUUCACUCCCAAAAUGGCCACUACAGCUGGAGCUACGCCAAUCUGAAGCCAGGAGCCAGGUGCUUCUUCCUGGUCUCCCAUGGGGUGCAGGGCCCAAGCACCUGGGCCAUCCUCCACUGCCUUCCCAUGCCACAGCAGAGAGCUGGGCUGGAAGAGGAGCAACCGAGACUAGAACCCGGUGCCCAUAUGGGAUGCUGGCGCCACAGGCGGAGGAUUGACCAAGUGAGCCACAGCGCCAGGCCCCCCUUUUUAAAUAUUCAUUUUAUUUAUUUGAAAGGCAGAGUCACAAGGAGAGAGAGGGAGACAUAGAAAGGUAUCUUCCAUCUGCUGGUUCACCCCCUUAAUGGCCUCAAUGGCCAUAGCUGGGCCUGGCCAAAGUGAGAAGCCAGGAGCUUAUUCCAAGUCUCCCAUGUGGGUGCAGGGACACAAGCACUUGGACCAGCUACUGCUGCCUUCCUAGGCAAAUUAACAGGGAGCUUGGUCCGAAAUGGAGCAGCUGGGAAUCGAACCAGUGCCCCUGUGGGGUGCCAGCCUUGCAAGAGGUAGCUCUACAGGAGGCGAUUUAACCCAUUAAUGGGUUAAUGCUGGCACCGACGAGGUGAGAAACAAAUCUUUCAAGGAGCCCUCUGGGAAAUCCUAAAGUGACCUCAAAACUUAAAAAUAAAUAGAAGACUUCAUUUUAGAAAACUGUCGGAAAGGCUUGAACACUGAAUGGAAACAAGGUUGCAGGUUCUUGUGCAACAAGUUACUCCUUUAACAAGAGUGGUGCUUUUGAACCUCAAAGGUAAACGCAGGAAGUUGCACAGUUGUGGAAAACUGUUGACUCUUUUAAUAGGACCUGGUUUUUUAGGUAAUCAAAUACCAGAUAAAAUGAAACACAGGAAACUAUUGUGAUAAAAAA